CUUGUAGGUAUGAUUCCACGCA
rnacentral:miRNA from 1 species